rnacentral:rRNA from 1 species
UUGGAGGGCAAGUCUGGUGCCAGCAGCCGCGGUAAUUCCAGCUCCAAUAGCGUAUAUUAAAGUUGUUGCAGUUAAAAAGCUCGUAGUUGAAUUUCGGGACUAAUAUGUCGGUCGUACUUUGUACGUACUAGCAUUAUUGGUUUCUCCCUUCUGACGAACCACGAUGUCAUUAAUUUGGUGUCGCGGGAAAUCAGACUGUUACUUUGAAAAAAUUAGAGUGUUUAAAGCAAGCUCGCGCUUGAAUACAUUAGCAUGGAAUAAUGAAAUAGGACGUUUGAUUCUAUUUUGUUGGUUUCUAGGAUCGACGUAAUGAUUAAUAGGGAUAGUUGGGGGCAUUAGUAUUCAAUUGUCAGAGGUGAAAUUCUUGGAUUUAUUGAAGACUAACUACUGCGAAAGCAUUUGCCAAGGAUGUUUUCAUUAAUCAAGAACGAAAGUUAGGGGAUCGAAGGCGAUCAGAUACCGUCGUAGUCUUAACCAUAAACUAUGCCGACUAGGGAUCGGAUGAUGUUAAUUUUUUUAAUGACUCAUUCGGCGCCCUUACGGGAAAC